rnacentral:rRNA from 1 species
UAGGGAAUCUUCGGCAAUGGACGGAAGUCUGACCGAGCAACGCCGCGUGAGUGAAGAAGGUUUUCGGAUCGUAAAGCUCUGUUGUUAGAGAAGAACGUUGGUAGGAGUGGAAAAUCUACCAAGUGACGGUAACUAACCAGAAAGGGACGGCUAACUACGUGCCAGCAGCCGCGGUAAUACGUAGGUCCCGAGCGUUGUCCGGAUUUAUUGGGCGUAAAGAGAGCGCAGGCGGUUCUUUAAGUCUGAAGUUAAAGGCAGUGGCUUAACCAUUGUACGCUUUGGAAACUGGAGGACUGGAGUGCAGAAGGGGAGAGUGGAAUUCCAUGUGUAGCGGUGAAAUGCGUAGAUAUAUGGAGGAACACCGGUGGCGAAAGCGGCUCUCUGGUCUGUAACUGACGCUGAGGCUCGAAAGCGUGGGGAGCAAACAGG